rnacentral:rRNA from 1 species
UACGUAGGGUGCGAGCGUUAAUCGGAAUUACUGGGCGUAAAGCGUGCGCAGGCGGUUGUGUAAGUCUGACGUGAAAGCCCCGGGCUUAACCUGGGAAUGGCGUUGGAGACUGCACAGCUUGAGUGUGUCAGAGGGAGGUAGAAUUCCACGUGUAGCAGUGAAUGCGUAGAGAUGAUGGAGGAAUACCGAUGGCGAAGGCAGCCUCCUGGGAUAACACUGACGCUCAUGCACGAAA